UGAAUACGAGAUGCUACGGCGUCGAAGCAGUCUAUGUCAUACUUCCAAGAAAAGCUUGCACUGUCAUAAACAAAUAAUGCCUGUACAUAACCGACACAGGUGGGUAGGUAGAGUAUACUAAGGGGCGCGAGAUAACUCUCUCUAAGGAACUCGGCAAAAUGACUCCGUAACUUCGGGAGAAGGAGUGCCUUAUUUUAUAAGGUUGCAAUAACAAGAUCCAAGCAACUGUUUACCAAAAACACAGGUCUCCGCUAAGUCGUAAGACGAUGUAUGGGGGCUGACGCCUGCCCAGUGCCAGAAGGUUAAAGAAGUUGGUUAGCAUCCGCGAAGCUGAUAACUGAAGCCCUGGUGAACGGCGGCCGUAACAAUAACGGUCCUAAGGUAGCGAAAUUCCUUGUCGGGUAAGUUCCGACCCGCACGAAAGGCGUAAUGAUUUGGAUACUGUCUCAGAGAGGGGCUCGGUGAAAUAGACUUGUCUGUGAAGAUGCGGACUACCUGCACCAGGACAGAAAGACCCUAUGAAGCUUUACUGUAACUUGAAAUUGAAAUUGGACUUUACUUGCGCAGUAUAGGUGGGAGGCGUUGAGAAUAUUCUUGCGGGAAUGUUGGAGCCAUCAGUGAGAUACCACUCUUGUAAUGUUAGAUUUCUAACUUUGUAUCAUUAUCUGGUCAAAGGACAGUUUCAGGCGGGCAGUUUGACUGGGGCGGUCGCCUCCCAAACGGUAACGGAGGCGCACAAAGGUUUCCCCUGAACGGGUAGAAAUCGUAUCUAGAGUGUAAAGGCAUAAGGAAGCUUGACUGUGAGACCUACAAGUCGAGCAGGGACGAAAGUCGGUCUUAGUGAUCUGACGGUGCUGAGUGGAAAGGCCGUCACUCAACGGAUAGAAGUUACUCUAAGGAUAACAGGCUGAUCUCCCCCAAGAGUUCACAUCGACGGGGAGGUUUGGCACCUCGAUGUCGGCUCAUCGCAUCCUGGGGCGGUAGUACGUCCCAAGGGUUGGGCUGUUCGCCCAUGAAAGCGGUACGCGAGCUGGGUUCAGAACGUCGUGAGACAGUUCGGUCCAUAUCCGGUGUAGGCGUUAGAUUAUUGAGAGGAGCCUUCUUUAGUACGAGAGGACCGAGAAGGACAUACCUCUGGUGUACCAGUUAUCGUGCCAACGGUAAACGCUGGGUAGCUAUGUAUGGAGUGGAUAACCGCUGAAAGCAUCUAAGUGGGAAGCCCACCUCAAGAUAAGUAUUC
rnacentral:rRNA from 1 species